UGGGGAAUAUUGGACAAUGGGCGAAAGCCUGAUCCAGCCAUGCCGCGUGAGUGAUGAAGGCCCUAGGGUUGUAAAGCUCUUUCACCGGUGAAGAUAAUGACGGUAACCGGAGAAGAAGCCCCGGCUAACUUCGUGCCAGCAGCCGCGGUAAUACGAAGGGGGGCUAGCGUUGUUCGGAAUUACUGGGCGUAAAGCGCACGUAGGCGGAUAUUUAAGUCAGGGGGUGAAAUCCCCGGGGGCUCAACCCCGGGAACUGCCUUUGAUACUGGGGUAUCUAGAGUAUGGUAGAGGUGAGUGGAAUUCCGAGUGUAGAGGUGAAAUUCGUAGAUAUUCGGAGGAACACCAGUGGCGAAGGCGGCUCACUGGACCAUUACUGACGCUGAGGUGCGAAAGCGUGGGGGAGCAAACAGGAUUAGAUACCCUGGGUAGUCCACGCCGUAAACGAUGGAGGCUAGCCGUUGGCAGGUUUACCUGUCGGUGGCGCAGCUAGCGCAUUAAGCUUCCCGCCUGGGGAGUACGGUCGCAAGAUUAAAACUCAAAUGAAUUGACGGGGUCAUAGCUGUUUCCU
rnacentral:rRNA from 1 species